GCCCUAGUGUGCAGCUGCUGAUUUCUGCUGUUCACCGCCCCUGGGGCUCCAGCCAGUCACAAGCUCCUUCAUGGUCUCCGCAAAUGGUGCUCGGUAUGCUGGGUUGCCCAGAGAAGGCAAGUUCAUGGUGACGGAAUGGCACUGCUCUCAGAAUUCUGGCAAAGAGAGGGAUCUCCAGUACUACUGCUCUGCUCAGAAUGGAAGCCUUUCAGUUAGGAAUAGAAUCACUUGAGAAUGGAGUCAUGGAAGGCUCUGGUUUGGAUUCUUAAGUGAACUCAGACAAGCACUCAUCGAAAGUACAGAAGGGAGACCAUGGCAGUGUGGAUGGACUGGAUUUCGGAUGUCCUUGCUGCUGGAAUCACUGCAGUUUCUUAAUAUAUCCUGAGUAGAAAUUAUAUCAUUCAAAGAAACCUAGAGAAUUUUAGAAGCUGAAGAACCUAUUUGUGAGCUAUUGGACCAGCUCACAAAUCUGUGGAGAAGCUCCCAGCUGAGACCAAUGCCCACAGCGUGCUGCGAAGACGUCAUCUCUGGACACCAGUUGCUGCAGUUUGCACUGCUAAGAUCCCGGACAUCGUUCCGCCAGCUGCUGUGAUUGCUACUGCCAGUACCACCCAUCUCCAAGAUCCGUCUGAUGAAUGGGGAUUGCUGGAGUGCGUGAGUCCACCCACAGCUGAGGAGUUCAGGACUUGACGCUGUCUGCUUAGCAAUGAGAGGUGGCCUAGCACAUCAUGUCCUUCCAGCCUUGGAAAGAGGCUGAGAUACUAGGAAACCAGAAGGAAUGGAAUGACAGAGUUUCACUGUGAAGCCCUGGCUGCCUCAGGAAAACAAACAAACAAACAAACAAACAAACAAACAAACAAACAAACCAGACUGGCCUCAUACUUGGGACAAUUCUCCUACUUUUCUGCCUCCCAAAUCCAGGGAUUACAGAAACAGCUUCAACCAGAGGGCUCCUGCACAGAUAAAGAAGAAGGCUACUUUCUUCUUCUUCUAGCAGAGGCUACGAAGGAACUGAAUGCAUGGACUCCAACCAGUUGGCUGGACAUAUGUUGCACAUUGGACUGGCCAUUUGGCUGGAUCAGAUUAAAGUGGAGAAACUGCAUAUUUUUUUGGGCACCGAACACAAAUCUGGACCUGCUUAUUACUUUUGUCCUCUCUUUUUAAAGUGAUGGAUUUGUAAGUGCCAAAAAUUCAGCACCAACUUGCGUUUAAAAGGGGAAAAAAAGAAAGCCUAUAAAGAAAUGUGACAGAGGAAAAAGACAAAGGAUUGAGGAUGGAGACUCCAAAGCUGGCUUCGGAGGGGUGGGCUGUAUUAAAUGGUAACACUCAUGCUGACAGUGUUAUACAUUAGGAAUGCCAAAUCUACGGGUUCUGGCUCAUUUAUGGACAAGGUGGCUCAAUUGAUUAAGGGUUUCAUUUGGGAUGUUAUCAGGUAUUAUUAAACCAUUUGGCACACUG